GCAGAACCGUACGGAGCUUCGCCGCCAG
rnacentral:sRNA from 1 species